ACUUGUAAAUCAUUUCUUAUUUCCCGUUAUAGCUACUAGCUAGGUAGCCCUCAACAUUUGUUUGUUUUUUAAUGUAUGGUUUUUUUUUUUUUUUUUGUAUGAAGACUCACCAUCUUUGGUGGUAAUAGGCUAAUACCAUAACUCCUUAAUAUUUUGCGUUAUAUGCUAUGCUCAUAUUUAAGAGUUGUCUAACAAUGUUAAUUGAGUAUAAUAAAAAAUAAAUAAAGUUCAC
rnacentral:lncRNA from 1 species